AAUGAACGUUGGCGGCGUGGAUUAGGCAUGCAAGUCGAGCGAGAACCCCGCAAGGGGGGACAGCGGCGCAAGGGACAGUAAUGUGUAGAUCAUCUGCCCUCAGGUCCGGGAUAGCUGCGGGAAACUGCAGGUAAUACCGGAUAACAUCUCCGGAUCAAAGGUGUGAGUCCGCCUGAGGAUGAGUCUGCAUCCUAUUAGCUAGUUGGCAGGGUAACGGCCUACCAGGGCAUUGAUGGGUAGCGGGUGUGAGAGCACGACCCGCGUCAUUGGGACUGAGACACUGCACAGACACCUACGGGUGGCUGCAGUAGAGAAUCUUCGGCAAUGGGCGCAAGCCUGACCGAGCGACGCCGCGUGUGGGAUGAAGGCCUUCGGGUUGUAAACCACUGUCAGGGGGAUGAAAUGCAGGUGGGUUCUCCCAUCUGUUUGACAUAGCCUCAGAGGAAGGACGGGCUAAGUUCGUGCCAGCAGCCGCGGUAA
rnacentral:rRNA from 1 species